rnacentral:lncRNA from 1 species
UCAUAUAGGAAGUAACGUGACGCAAAACGGAUGAAAAAUGAGAGAGUUAUGUCCGUUUCGGUAAGGAUUAAUGGCUAGGAAAAGUGCAGAGUUGACACGGCCGGGUGGUGAACUGACACGGCCGGGUGAAGGCUUCGGUAUAUUAUCCGUGAACUACGACGGGCCUCCCAAACAUGAUUUCGAGUGUUUCCUUGACGAUUAUAAGUUGUAAACCCAAGUCUAAGCCUCAUGUAAUUUAUAUAAGAGUGUGAUAGAUGUAUGUAAUGAAGUUGGACAUGUAUUACAUGUAAAUGUAUACAAAAAUACGUACGGAACACGUAGGUAUGAAUACAUGAUUGUAGGUAUGAUUAAAUGUAUAUUAGGUAUGUAGAUGUGUAUGAUUGUAAGUUUGUAUGUGUGCAAGUAUGUGCGAAUGCAUGAUUUGGAUGCAUUUGAGAAUUAGCGUU